GACGAACGCUGGCGGCGUGCCUUACACAUGCAAGUCGAACGGUAACAGGUCUUCGGAUGCUGACGAGUGGCGAACGGGUGAGUAAUACAUCGGAACGUGCCCGAUCGUGGGGGAUAACGAAGCGAAAGCUUUGCUAAUACCGCAUAAGAUCUACGGAUGAAAGCAGGGGACCGCAAGGCCUUGCGCGAACGGAGCGGCCGAAGGCAGAUUAGGUAGGGGGUGGGAUAAAAGCUUACCAAGCCGACGAUCUGUAGCUGGUCUGAGAGGACGACCAGCCACACUGGGACUGAGACACGGCCCAGACUCCUACGGGAGGCAGCAGUGGGGAAUUUUGGACAAUGGGCGAAAGCCUGAUCCAGCCAUGCCGCGUGCAGGAUGAAGGCCUUCGGGUUGUAAACUGCUUUUGUACGGAACGAAAAGACUCUUUCUAAUAAAGAGGGUCCAUGACGGUACCGUAAGAAUAAGCACCGGCUAACUACGUGCCAGCCGCCGCCGUAA
rnacentral:rRNA from 1 species